AGAGUUUUUUCCUGGCUCAGGAUGAACGCUGGCAGCGUGCUUAACACAUGCAAGUCGAGCGAAGCACCUUGACGGAUUUCUUCGGAUUGAAGCCUUGGUGACUGAGCGGCGGACGGGUGAGUAACGCGUGGGUAACCUGCCUCAUACAGGGGGAUAACAGUUGGAAACGGCUGCUAAUACCGCAUAAGCGCACAGUACCGCAUGGUACGGUGUGAAAAACUCCGGUGGUAUGAGAUGGACCCGCGUCUGAUUAGGUAGUUGGUGGGGUAACGGCCUACCAAGCCGACGAUCAGUAGCCGACCUGAGAGGGUGACCGGCCACAUUGGGACUGAGACACGGCCCAAACUCCUACGGGAGGCAGCAGUGGGGAAUAUUGCACAAUGGGGGAAACCCUGAUGCAGCGACGCCGCGUGAGCGAUGAAGUAUUUCGGUAUGUAAAGCUCUAUCAGCAGGGAAGAAAAUGACGGUACCUGACUAAGAAGCCCCGGCUAACUACGUGCCAGCAGCCGCGGUAAUACGUAGGGGGCAAGCGUUAUCCGGAUUUACUGGGUGUAAAGGGAGCGUAGACGGCAUGGCAAGCCAGAUGUGAAAGCCCGGGGAUCAACCCCGGGACUGCAUUUGGAACUGUCAGGCUAGAGUGUCGGAGAGGAAAGCGGAAUUCCUAGUGUAGCGGUGAAAUGCGUAGAUAUUAGGAGGAACACCAGUGGCGAAGGCGGCUUUCUGGACGAUGACUGACGUUGAGGCUCGAAAGCGUGGGGAGCAAACAGGAUUAGAUACCCUGGUAGUCCACGCCGUAAACGA
rnacentral:rRNA from 1 species